GAUGAACGCUGGCGGCGUGCCUAAUACAUGCAAGUCGAGCGAACGGACGAGAAGCUUGCUUCUCUGAUGUUAGCGGCGGACGGGUGAGUAACACAUGGAUAACCUACCUAUAAGACGGGGAUAACUUCGGGAAACCGGUGCUAAUACCGGAUAAUAUUUUGAACCGCUUGGUUCAAAAGUGAAUGACGGUCUUGCUGUCACUUAUAGAUGGUUCCGCGCUGGAUUAGCUAGUUGGUAAGGUAACGGCUUACCAAGGCAACGAUGCAUAGCCGACCUGAGAGGAUGAUCGGCCACACUGGAACUGAGACACGGUCCAGACUCCUACGGGAGGCAGCAGUAGGGAAUCUUGGGCAAUGGGCGAAAGCCUGACCGAGCAACGCCGCGUGGGUGAUGAAGGUCUUCGGAUUGUAAAACUCUGUUAUUAGGGAAGAACAUAAGUGUAAGUAACUGUGCACAUCUUGACGGUACCUAAUCAGAAAGCCCCGGCUAACUACGUG
rnacentral:rRNA from 1 species